rnacentral:lncRNA from 1 species
GGAUAUGGAACAAGCAUUAACAGUUAAAAGAAUUGUGGAUUUUUUUGUCUUUUUUCCAGCCAUUGGGUUAGUGUUGCAAAAACGCAAGUAUGUUUCUCUGAUAAUAUGGGUUCUAAUCUAGCUGCAGAGAUAUGUGGUACGCUGGGAUGUCGACAGGUUGAUGACUUGGGAAGGUAUCUCGGAAUGCCGCUUUUUCACAAAAGAGUUUCGUUGGG